rnacentral:rRNA from 1 species
UACGUAGGGGGCAAGCGUUAUCCGGAUUUACUGGGUGUAAAGGGAGCGUAGACGGCAAUGCAAGUCUGGAGUGAAAGGCGGGGGCCCAACCCCCGGACUGCUCUGGAAACUGUAUAGCUGGAGUGCAGGGGAGGUAAGUGGAAUUCCUAGUGUAGCGGUGAAAUGCGUAGAUAUUAGGAGGAACACCAGUGGCGAAGGCGGCUUACUGGACUGUAACUGACGUUGAGGCUCGAAAGCGUGGGGAGCAAACAGG